rnacentral:rRNA from 1 species
UAUCCUGGCUCAGGAUGACGCUAGCGGCAGCUUAACACAUGCAAGUCGAGGGGUAUAGUUUCUUCGGAGAUAGAGACCGGCGCACGGGUGCGUAACGCGUAUGCAAUCUGCCUUUCACAGAGGGAUAGCCCAGAGAAAUUUGGAUUAAUACCUCAUAGUAUAAUCAAACCGCAUGGUUUAAUUAUUAAAGUCACAACGGUGAAAGAUGAGCAUGCGUCCCAUUAGCUUGUUGGUAAGGUAACGGCUUACCAAGGCAACGAUGGGUAGGGGUCCUGAGAGGGAGAUCCCCCACACUGGUACUGAGACACGGACCAGACUCCUACGGGAGGCAGCAGUGAGGAGUAUUGGACAAUGGGCGCAAGCCUGAUCCAGCCAUGCCGCGUGCAGGAUGACGGUCCUAUGGAUUGUAAACUGCUUUUGUACGAGAAGAAACACUCCUAUGUAUAGGAGCUUGACGGUAUCGUAAGAAUAAGGAUCGGCUAACUCCGUG